GUUAGCGUGGCAGAGCUCGGUAAUGCAAGAGAUCUAAGCCCUUUUCCCCAGGGGUUCAAAUCCCCUCGCUAACU
rnacentral:tRNA from 1 species